rnacentral:lncRNA from 10 species
UAUGGAGCAGCGAGGGGUGUGUUAGCGAAUGGGCAUGGGGUCUGGCCACUGUGCACAGCCAAGCAAGCUAGCUGCCGUGGUGGGGCAGGCAUCUCCAGGCACUGGCGCCAUGCAAGGUUGCAGCUGGAUUAGAUGUGCCUCAAGCAGCUUCCACUGCAGGCACCCACAUCUGGACGAGGGGAACAUGGUGGUGGUGCCCAGAAGCUUGGAGAUGCCAGGAACCACAAGCCCCAAAGAGGAUGUCACAACCCUGGCUCAGGGAGCCCAUAGGUCUGAACUCCCAAAGGGCCUCAGCUCUUUCCUUCUCAUUGCCUACAACGUGGCGAGCAAGGGGGCAUGUUUCAGCCCUGUUUGUGUUACCAUUUUUUGAGUACCAGAAUUUGCCAGGUCCUGAGUUCUUGUCCUGCGCCCAGGAAGAAUGAGGUAUGUGGACAACUGGAGGGUGAACAAGGUGGAGAGGAGCUUCAUUCAGUGACAGAAGAGCUCUCAGGAGACCCCUAGUAGGUAGCUCCUUUCUGCAAGCAGGUUGUCCAGGCAAGUGUCCAGCUCUUAGCAGAGAGGAGACCUGUAGUAGUUGCUCCUUCCUGCAGGUGGAUCAUCCCAGCAAGUGUCCAGCUCUCAGCAGAAAGGAGUGGGUAGCUCCUUUCUGUAGGCAUGUCAUCCCACAGAGGGUAUGAGUCUGGCUGUCUGGGGUUAUUUUGUGCUCUGAAUGGUGGAAGUGUGUGCUGAUUGGUCCAUGGGAGGCCACGGAUGGGCCUGGAAAAAGCACCUCGAGUUCUCACUCUGGGCCAUGGACUUCAACCAGAACUGGCAGCCUUAUCCCCCCAGGCCCGCCUCCCAUGCUCGUCAUUACCCAAAGUCUGGAGAGGGCUGAGGCAGCAGGGGGCUUGUGAAUCAGUGCCGUCAUGAGCACACCCAGUCAGUUGUGACAGGUCCCAGGCUUGGCCACAACUUUGCUCCACCCCAGAGUGGGUGCCAGGAGCUGGGAGAGGCCAGGGAGCAGGAGCAGGUACUUUCAAGCAUGUGGGGGCAGGGAGCUUCUUAAGACCCUGAGAACACAGGGAAGCAUGGGUCCAAAGCUGCAGCUGGGUAGCUGCAGCUGCACCCAGGAGCGCUGGGCUCCCACCCCUCCAACUCAGUAGGUGGCCCGGCUUCCACCUGUUCCUGGCCUCCACCCAUUCUGUGGAGCAUGCAGCCCUGGCCACAACUUCCCCACUGCAGUCGGCAUCCCUGCAGCAGCUGCUCCAGAUGGGCUGCCACCACCAUCAUAAUCCCAGCUACUUGAGAGGCUAAGGCGUGAGAAUCGCUUGAACCUGGGAGGGAGAGGUUGCAGUGAGUGGAGAUCGCACCACUGUACUCCAGCUUGGACAACAGAGUGAGACCCUGUCUCAAACAAAAAUAUUAGCUGAGUGUGGUGCCAUGCACCUGUAGUCCCAGCUACUCAGGAGGCUGAGGCAGGAGAAUUGCUUGAGCCCAGGAGUUUGAGGCUGCAGUGAGCUAUGAUCAUGUCAUUGCACACCGGCCUGGAGGAAUAGAGUGAGACCAUGUCUUUAAAAACAAAGAACAACAAAAAACCACUGGGUCUACCAAUGGGUAAAAGCAAAUACUGGUGCUAAACAAGGAAAUGCUCAACUGGGCUUUGAAGUCUCAAAUGCAGUUUGGUCUCGUAUACACAUGAACACAGAAACAUGGUUUGGAACAAAGAUGUCCCAGUAAUAUAGUCCUCUGUGUUUAAACAAGAAUAUGUGAGUCGGACAGUGUGCUCUUUGACUGAAAACCUGAUUCAGAGAAGUUGGCUUAUUCCUUUGCCUUUGACCACAGCUUUGUUGGAGGUCAGCAGCAUCCUAAGAGCCAGGGAGCAGGCCAGGCACAGUGGCUCACGCCUGUAAUUCCAGCACUUUGGGAAGCCAGGGCAGGUGGAUCACUUGACGUCAGGAGUUCAAGACCAGCCUGGCCAACAUGGCGAAACCUCAUCUCUACUAAAAAUACAAAGCAAUUAGCCAGGCAUGGUGGCAAAUGCCCAUAAUCCCAGCUACUCAGGAAGCUGAGGCAUGAGAAUCGCUUGAACCUGGGAGGUGGAGGUUGCAGUGAGCCAAGAUCAUGCCACUGCACUCCAGCCUGGGUGAAGUGAGACUCUGUC